rnacentral:rRNA from 1 species
UACGUAGGCAGCAAGCGUUGUUCGGAAUUACUGGGCGUAAAGAGCGUGUAGGCGGCCACUUAAGUCCUGCGUGAAAUCUUGCGGCUCAACCGCAAGCGGUCGUGGGAAACUGGGUGGCUAGAGUGCGGGAGAGGAGAGUGGAAUUCCUGGUGUAGCGGUGAAAUGCGCAGAUAUCGGGAGGAAUACCAGUGGCGAAGGCGCUUCCUGGCCUGUUCUUGACG